rnacentral:rRNA from 1 species
ACCGUAGCUUGCUACACCAUAGACUGUGAGUUGCGAACGGGUGAGUAACGCGUAGGUAACCUGCCUAUUAGAGGGGGAUAACUAUUGGAAACGAUAGCUAAUACCGCAUAACAGUAUGUAACACAUGUUAGAUGCUUGAAAGAUGCAAUUGCAUCGCUAGUAGAUGGACCUGCGUUGUAUUAGCUAGUAGGUAGGGUAAAGGCCUACCUAGGCAACGAUACAUAGCCGACCUGAGAGGGUGAUCGGCCACACUGGGACUGAGACACGGCCCAGACUCCUACGGGAGGCAGCAGUAGGGAAUCUUCGGCAAUGGGGGGAACCCUGACCGAGCAACGCCGCGUGAGUGAAGAAGGUUUUCGGAUCGUAAAGCUCUGUUGUUAAGGAAGAACGAGUGUGAGAAUGGAAAGUUCAUACUGUGACGGUACUUAACCAGAAAGGGACGGCUAACUACGUGCCAGCAGCCGCGGUAAUACGUAGGUCCCGAGCGUUGUCCGGAUUUAUUGGGCGUAAAGCGAGCGCAGGCGGUUAGAAAAGUCUGAAGUGAAAGGCAGUGGCUCAACCAUUGUAGGCUUUGGAAACUGUUUAACUUGAGUGCAGAAGGGGAGAGUGGAAUUCCAUGUGUAGCGGUGAAAUGCGUAGAUAUAUGGAGGAACACCGGUGGCGAAAGCGGCUCUCUGGUCUGUAACUGACGCUGAGGCUCGAAAGCGUGGGGAGCGAACAGGAUUAGAUACCCUGGUAGUCCACGCCGUAAACGAUGAGUGCUAGGUGUUAGGGGUCGAACCUCAGGCCCAAGCAAACGCGAU